UACAGAGGUCUCAAGCGUUGUUCGGAUUCAUUGGGCGUAAAGGGUGUGUAGGUGGCGCGCUAAGUCGGGGUGUGAAAUUUCGGAGCUUAACUCCGGAAACUGCAUUCGGAUACUGGCGUGCUUGAGGACUGGGAGAGGAGACUGGGAAUUCAUGGUGUAGCAGUGAAAUGCGUAGAGAUCAUGGAGGAAGACCAGUGGGCGAAGGCGG
rnacentral:rRNA from 1 species